rnacentral:rRNA from 1 species
CACAUGAGCGGUAAGCAUUAUCCGUAAUUAUUAGGCGUAUAGAAUGCGUAGACUUUUUAGGUAGUUUAGCUUUACUAAAUGAGUUUAUUCGGUAUGGAUGAAAACCCUAAAAUUGAGUUUUGGCAAAGUAACUAAUACUUAUGAACUAGCGAUAAAAUGCCGCGAGUUCUUAAAGAUUACCAGAAGCGAAAGCGAGUUACUGAAGUAAACUGACGUUGAUGCAUGAAAGUACAGGUAUCAACUAGGAUUAGAGACCCUAUUAGUCUGUACUGUAAACAAUGAGUAUUAAAUAACUAUAUUUCUAUGAUAUCGUUUUUUAAGCUAACGCGUAAAUACUCCGCCUGGGAAGUACAAUAACACUAUUGAAACUUAACAGAAUUGGCGGGAACUUGAUUGAACGGUGGAACAUGUGGUUUAAUGCGAUAAUCCGCGCAAAACCUUACCAAUGUCGUUAAAAAUCUAUGAUUUUUUUGAAAAAAUAUACAUAAAAAAUAUUAGAUUUAUACACGGUGCUGCAUGGCUGUCGUCAGUUCGUGUUGUGAGAUAUAGAAUUAAAUUUUCUAACGAACGCAACCCCAGGUACUAGUAUUAUAGUAUUUUAAUUAAAUAUUAUUAUUUUACAAUAGCUAUUACUAGUAUAUACGAUAUUUUAUCGUUUUUAUCGGGCUGAAGUCAAGUCUUUAUGGCCUUUAUAUAUUGGGCUACACACGUGUUACAAUGGUAGUGACAAAGUGUUACGAAAGUUUAAUCUGGAGUAAAUCACUAAAAUCUAUCUUAGUUCGGAAUGUUUUCUGAAAUUCGAAAACAUGAAGGUGAAAUCGUUAGUAAUCGUGAAUUAGUACGUCACGGUGAAUUAAAAAUUGAGUUCUGCACACACCGCCCAUCACGCUCGGAGAGUUGAUAUCAUGGAAGUUCAAAGAUUUUUAAUUUUUCUAUUAAUUUCGAAUUUUUAGGGAAAUUGGGUUAUAACGAAGCUGGUAUUAGUGAUCUGAGUGAAGUUG